UUGCGAGAUGCUUCAUGAACCACCAAAACACAAAACGCGAGCUUGUUGAACUUGUGUCUCUGUAAGAAUAAUCUACGCGUUGAGCAUUUACCACUUGCCUCAUACCUAGCCCGAGACGACCUACCACAAAGGAUCGAAUUAGUCACUCUGGUCGAACUUGGAGUCAGAAUGGACUUUGUUUUAGGCUGGAGGAAACUUUUUUCAUUUCUUCCAGUCUUAUUGGCUGCCGUUGGCGUUUGUGGUGACACGUGCAAAGUCACCCAUCAGGGCAAAGCAACGACGUACAACAUCUCAAACCCUAAGAGCAAUCCAACGUGUGAUUACAGCUGGGCUGAUUCUAAUCUGUUGGUACUGGCAACUGAUGCCGAACCCGAAGGAAAAGGAAUUAUAUCCUCAUCUCACUCCUCUCUCACUUUGCUUGGAUGCUGGAAGAAUGUUUGUGUUACAAUUUAUUGCCAUCUGAAGCACCACACAACCUGCUGCUACACUAACUGCCCUGCUGCACCAGAACCUCCAGGUAAGGAUGCAUUACUUUCACCAACUCCACAAAUGGCAACAUGCAAACCUAUUUUCUUCUGUCUUACUUAUCUGGUAGAUUAUGAAUGUCUGCAAUAAUAUAUAGAAUCAGACUAGGCCAAAUGUGGUCGUUAUUUGUUUAUAUUCUUUUAUGUUUUCCCUUUUUCUACUGAACUUUUGUUGUUCUUGUUGUUUGGUCAUCUAAUGUUUAACUGAAGUCUUUUGAGGGCUGUACAAUUAACUUGACCUGCUAAAAUUAUAAAAUGAGUAUAGAGUUUAAUUAUUUGAAUGGUUGGUUUUCAAGUUUUAGUUAAUGUUUACUUUUAGGGAUGCACCGAUAUGAACAUUUUGACCGAUACCGAUAUCCGAUAUUAAAAUUGCUGUUACGGCCGAUAACCGAUAUUUACCGAUAUCGAUAUUGGUAUAAAAACAAGUUUCUAUGAUGAUUUUGUUUGCUGAAGAACAUGUAAACACUGUGAAUAUGAAAAAGUAAUUUCUUUCUUUAUUUACCAAAACUUCGAAAUACAUUGUUUCCUCAACAAGUUACAGGGCAUCCAUAACAAACACAAGUUAAUAAUAGUGUUAGUUUUAGGCAACUUAUACAACUUGCAUCUAUGAAAAAGUUUGGAUCAUAAAUCACAAUAACGAUCACAAAUCAAAAUAUCUUGACAAGGUUUUAUAACUUAAAUCAAAUUUGCCAAUAUUCAUGGUAACCAGACACUUGUCUAAUAAAUUACAAAAAGUGUUUCAAGUUUAAGUCAAUUUCAACUCAAAAAUGUGAAAUAGGCUAAAUCAAAUAUAUCAAGGGAGGUUGGUUGUAGUCUUUUCACUCGGUUCUAGCCCUACUGUUGAUCCGGAGAACUGAGCGAAAAGACUACAACCAAAUAUCAACAUAUCCGGUUCCGGUUUCCGUUUCAAUGGGAUUACGGAACGCCAAAUAAAACACAACAGAAACUGUAUUUCGCUACAAUAAUGUAUAUAAUGAUUUGACACUGCAUCCUCGGCAUUACUUCGGCUUUGCAAGUACUGCAUAUUGCAAUUUGAGUACCUUCAUUUGAGAC
ensembl:lncRNA